AUUGAACGCUGGCGGCAUGCUUUACACAUGCAAGUCGAACGGUAACAGGCCGCAAGGUGCUGACGAGUGGCGAACGGGUGAGUAAUGCAUCGGAACGUGCCCAGUCGUGGGGGAUAACUGCUCGAAAGAGUAGCUAAUACCGCAUACGAUCUAUGGAUGAAAGCGGGGGACCGUAAGGCCUCGCGCGAUUGGAGCGGCCGAUGUCAGAUUAGGUAGUUGGUGGGGUAAAGGCUCACCAAGCCAACGAUCUGUAGCUGGUCUGAGAGGACAACCAGCCACACUGGGACUGAGACACGGCCCAGACUCCUACGGGAGGCAGCAGUGGGGAAUUUUGGACAAUGGGCGCAAGCCUGAUCCAGCAAUGCCGCGUGCAGGAAGAAGGCCUUCGGGUUGUAAACUGCUUUUGUACGGAACGAAACGGCUCUGGUUAAUACCCGGGGCUAAUGACGGUACCGUAAGAAUAAGCACCGGCUAACUACGUG
rnacentral:rRNA from 1 species